GUUAAUAUGUCUGAGUGGUUAAGGAGAUAGACUUGAAAUCUAUUGGGCUUUGCCUGCGCAGGUUUGAAUCCCACUGUUGACA
rnacentral:tRNA from 1 species